rfam:Daphnia pulex DAPPTscaffold_246_Cont7757, whole genome shotgun sequence.
GAUACUGUGGCCGAGUGGUCUAUGGCGCUGGUUAAAGGCACCAGUCUCUUCGGAGGCAGGGGUUCGAAUCCCUUCACUGUCA